UACGUAGGGUGCAAGCGUUGUCCGGAAUUAUUGGGCGUAAAGCGCACGUAGGCGGACUAUUAAGUCAGGGGUGAAAUCCCGGGGCUCAACCCCGGAACUGCCUUUGAUACUGGUAGUCUCGAGUCCGGAAGAGGUGAGUGGAAUUCCGAGUGUAGAGGUGAAAUUCGUAGAUAUUCGCAAGAACACCAGUGGCGAAGGCGGCAUCCUGGCCCUGUCCUGACGCUCAGGGGCGAAAGCGUGGAGAGCAAACCGG
rnacentral:rRNA from 1 species